rnacentral:misc_RNA from 1 species
UCCUGGAAAAAUGCUGUCCAAGAGGAGCCCAAUGCUAGUUUAUCUGAACAACAUGAUCUUCCAUGUUAUGAAAGAUGGAAAUUCAGUGAUGAAAGUAAACUUGGAAGGGCAAGCCCCAAGGCUUCACUAUGUUCAUCCUACAUGCUUUGAGGCUGGGAAGCCCAUAGAGUUUGUUGCUUGUGGAAGUAAUCUUUUGCAACCCAAAUUUAGGCUUCUGGUGUCGUUUGCUGGGAAAUAUCUUGCAUAUGAUUAUUGUGUUGCGUUACCACAUGGUCCUACUGAAGGAUGUUCUGGCCUUGACCAUCAGCUGUGCAAGAUAUUUAUUCCUAAUGUUGAGCCAAAUGUAUUUGGUCCUGCAUUUAUUGAGAUUGAAAACGAGAGUGGCUUAUCAAACUUCAUUCCUGUGCUUAUUGGGAAUGAAGAAAUUUGUUCUGAAAUGGAAAUAAUUCAGCAUAGGUUAGAUUCAUCUCAACUGUCGAGUGGUUCACAGUGUGAGGUUUCUGCACGUAGACAGAUGGCUUUUUCAGAAUUAGUUGUGGAUAU